rnacentral:lncRNA from 1 species
UUUGACUGCACAUAUACAUGGUCUCUAGUCAUAUGGGUCCUUGUUGUGUAGAUUGGCUGCAGUAGGUUCAUUGUAGGAGUAGGGUAUGCACUUACAUGGAAUCUAUCGACCUUGAUAGAAGAGGAGUGAUCCUAUGUGAUUUAUUAGACAGAGUUCUAAGACCUUGGCUAAGGCAAUAAUAUACAGUGGAGAAAGAGUUUUCCAUGACCUCCGGUCUGUAGGUGACCACGAUAGAAGGACUGUAUCAUACGAUAACUGCACCUAGAGGUUCAUCAUUCUGUUCUGCUGGGUAGCAACUACAUACUGCUAGGUG